CCUUUAUGAGGUGCAACCAAAACAGCUGUUUGACAUAGCAACAGUGAUAUUCUGGCAGGCUGUCGAGAAUUAGUUCUUGAAUACUGUUGUGGUUUUGAUCACUAAUAUGGCUUUUGGACUCUCUUUGAGUGUUUCUUGGAUUUGUUGCCUGCUAAUUGGAGGGAUAACUUGUUUUACACUUAAAGGUAACGCUCAAGGGCAUCCUGCCUACACUGGACCUGAACCAACUGGAUCCUAUGCCCAAGCAAGUGUGGUGUCUGGUCCAAAUGCUAAAGCUACUGGCCACAAUGCCACGUCAGCAGAAGCUUCAGGCCCAGGCGCCUCAGCAGAAGCUUCAGGCCCAGGCGCCUCAGCAGAAGCUUCAGGCCCAGGCGCCUCAGCAGAAGCUUCAGGCCCCGGCGCCUCAGCAGAAGCUUCAGGCCCGGCGCCUCAGCAGAAG